rnacentral:lncRNA from 1 species
CGCUGCCGCCUUGCAGUUUGAUCUCAGACUGCUGUGCUAGCAAUCAGCGAGAUUCCGUGGGCGUAGGACCCUCCGAGCCAGGUGUGGGAUAUAGUCUCGUGGUGCGCCGUUUUUUAAGCCGGUCUGAAAAGCGCAAUGUUCGGGUGGGAGUGACCCGAUUUUCCAGGUGCGUCCAUCACCCCUUUCUUUGACUCGGAAAGGGAACUCUCUGACCCCUUGCGCUUCCCAGGUGAGGCAAUGCCUCGCCCUGCUUCGGCUCGCGCACGGUGCGCGCACCCACUGGCCUGCGCCCACUGUCUGGCACUCCCUAGUGAGAUGAACCUGGUACCUCAGAUGGAAAUGCAGAAAUCACCGGUCUUCUGCAUCGGUCACGCUGGGAGCUGUAGACCGGAGCUGUUCCUAUUCGGCCAUCUUGGCUCCUCCCCCGCAUCCAUUGAUUUUUUAACAAAGCUACCUGGCAUCUGAACUCCCUUUCUGUGCCUGUGAAAUUUCCACCUUCAACUGCAGAAGCUGCAAAGCCAGAUACUUGCUUUCAUAGCCUCCAUUACUUUGAGGGUAGGGCACAUGAAUAGGCUCAGUUACUCUGACUUCAGCUUGGAUAUUGACUUGGGAACUAGUGAGAAAAGAAGCACUCAGUGGAGAAUUAGUUCUGGCAGCAAUAGUAGCAGUUACCUCGAGGAUCUGGUCACAGUUAUAGCAGGGGGGUCAUCCAGUAGCCAAUGUCAGCAGCAAACAAUGCCAAUGCCAAUGCUAGAGAAAUGAGAGGUACAAACCAUUCAUCUAGCAUUUGCUGGCAUCAGAAAAAAUAUCCUCACUAGUCAAGUUCUGCAGCAUAAUUUUAGCUUCAAAGCUAUGCACUUUGUUUUAUCCUGCCUGCCCAUUUUUUAAGCCUUUUCUCUAGUGUUCCAAAUGACUCUGUGAACUACUCAAUAUCCUUUCAACAAACUUCUUUUCCACUUGAAUCAUCCAGAGUUAAUUUCUAUUGCUGGCAAUACUAACUCUGAUGGAAAAAUAAAAUAAUAAAUGCACUCUAACACAGAAUAACAGAAAUAAUGCUCCACCUAGUUAACAAGGAUUUUACAAACAAGUAGAAGUUAUUUGGUCUUCUUUUUAAAAAUACGUUCUUAAAAAUAACAUUUUUGACACCAUGAAUUCCACCUGUGUUUUCAAACUAUUUUUCACUAUUAACAUUAUGUUUUAAAGGAGAUACGUUUUCAAAAGAUCCACUGGAAAAAAUUAGACUUCUCCUAUAAUAAUUUACACAGUGAGUGGCUGAGAUUCUAAAGGAAUAUCAUAAAAUUAUGAUAAUAUUAAAUAAAAGCAAAUACUCUCAUAACUUUCAAGGAAACAUGCGAUGACUGAUGUAGUAUCAAAGGGAUAUGUUUUGGAAGAUGCUCUCUUCUAUGUGACUGAAAAUAUGGGGACAUGCUAUACAUUCUAUUUUUUCUUAUUGAU